GGAGACACCCUCUCCGUUCUUGUCACAGCCUCACAGUUCCUCACAGUUGAAACUCCACCACCCAGUGUAGUCUAUAUAUUCAAAGGGUACCUUCCUGGAGCAGAUGUAGCUCCUCAGAAGAGUUCAUCCACCUCCACUGAUGCUUGCUCUGGCUUUUGUGAAGAGCCAUCUUGGCAGCGGCUCCCACAGCUAUGAAAGCUGCACUUGAAGGUGUUGUCUGGGGCAGCAAAAGCAUGUGACAUAUGGAAGAUGCCUGCAGAGGUUAAUCUUGUGAGACCCACAAUAACAAGGAGAAUAUGAUUUACAAAGAAACAAAGAAACAUGGGCAAGAAACAAAGGAAAUCAUCAGCAUGGAGUGAUGCCAGCCAUCAGGAAUGGUGAAUUUUCAGACAAAAUCCUUGGGCAGGCAUUAAAAUUGUGGAAGCAAGAAUGGAGGCUCCAUACAGAAUUUAUAUUGGAAGAUGACAAAAAUCAUUGUUAUAACAUGUUUUUGUAUUGUCUGUUGGUGUGUGUGUGUGUUUUUUGUUUGUUUGUUUUUUUGGUUGUUUGUUGUUUGUUUUUUUUUUGGGGGGGGGGGGAAGAUUAGCAGGGCACUACUCAUGGGGGAAGGGGAAGAGGGGGAAGAUCAUCAGAUCAUCAGGUCACUACUCUUGGAACAAUGCCUUAAAUAUUGGAGCCCAUCAUGAAAAUAUUUAAUGAGCCCAGAAAGAACAGUAGAAACAAAAAUGUUAUGUUUUGCCUUUACCUGAGUAAAUAUUCGUAUUUAAUAGCAGGGGAAAAAAAUGUUUAUAUUGCACAGCUCACACUACUGACACCCACAUGUAAUCUUAGAAAAGGCAAAACCAAAAUCUUUUUUACAUUUAUAAAACCUAACCUUAGAGAAAUGUCACUCAUUGAAAAAAAAAAAAAAAAAA